rnacentral:piRNA from 1 species
UGAAAAUGGACAUGGUGAACUACACC